ensembl:lncRNA
GUAAGAAAAUCUCACAAAUAGAUCAGGCUCAGUAGCCUAAUUAUAGGCUCUUACAUUUUAGCUUGAAUUGAUUUAUUUAAUUCAAAUAUGCUAGAUUACUGUGUACGCCAUUAGCAAUGGCAAAUGUUAUGUAAAAAAGUCCGCAGACAGACGAGAAGAAGCUGCUGAAAGCUCUCAGUGGAUCGUCUCAUCAACUUAAACAACAAACUGCCGAUAUCAACGAGCGGUUCGCUCCACUGGAGCGUUCGGGACUCUCCAGGUUUCUGUCCAUAGAGGAGAGGAUGGCGGCUCUGGAGGAACUGACUCAAAGAAGAGCAGACAGGCGCACAAUCCCAAAAUAGCGACUAAUCUCGCCUCAUAAUGAGGCGGUGACCUCGUAUUUGCUCCGGGAAAAGUCCAGAUUUAGACGACGUCAUUGUCUCCGCCUGUGAGAUGUAUUGUGAGACGGGACGCAGGAGCUUCAGGUUCAGCCGGAACACUCAUUGCGGGCGGAAGCUGCGAAGGAUU